rnacentral:lncRNA from 1 species
ACAUUCACAAUCAUUAGGAAAACUGUUUUAAAUCUAAACAUGCCGCUUUCUUCUUCAGGUGCCAUUGGAGCUGAAUGGUUGAAAACAUUCAAGGGGAUAUAUCAUCGAGCACCCUGAAUCUAUGUUGCGCUAAUCAGACAAAGAAUCAUACACUGACAAAACACACAUUAAAGCUCAUAAAGAGUCUCUGAAUCUGUCAUUUCUCACUUUGGAUUUUUUACUUUAAAUCUCUGUAUUUUUUUGGGAGAGUUAAAACAGAUUUUAUUUCGUUAAUUUAAACUCC